rfam:Cladophialophora carrionii strain KSF Contig00184, whole genome shotgun sequence.
CAAUGAUGAGACACCAGCUGGCACCAGUCUGAGAAGACUUGUACUCUUUACAUGCGGAUCAGCUACAUGGCAAUCAGCCUACACUCUGAA